rnacentral:rRNA from 1 species
GUCCACGCCGUAAACGAUGAGUGCUAGGUGUGGGGGGUGUCGACUCCCUCCGUGCCGCAGCUAACGCAUUAAGCACUCCGCCUGGGGAGUACGGCCGCAAGGCUAAAACUCAAAGGAAUUGACGGGGGCCCGCACAAGCAGCGGAGCAUGUGGUUUAAUUCGACGCGACGCGAAGAACCUUACCUAGGCUUGACAUGCACGGGAAUUGUCUAGAAAUAGGCAAGCCCUUCGGGGCUCGUGCACAGGUGGUGCAUGGCUGUCGU